AUUGAACGCUGGCGGCAGGCCUAACACAUGCAAGUCGAGCGAGCGGCGGACGGGUGAGUAAUGUCUGGGAAACUGCCCGAUGGAGGGGGAUAACUACUGGAAACGGUAGCUAAUACCGCAUACUAUCAGAUGUGCCCAUAUGGGAUUAGCUAGUAGGUGGGGUAACGGCUCACCUAGGCGACGAUCCCUAGCUGGUCUGAGAGGAUGACCAGCCACACUGGAACUGAGACACGGUCCAGACUCCUACGGGAGGAAGCAGUGGGGAAUAUUGCACAAUGGGAGCAAGCCUGAUGCAGCCAUGCCGCGUGUAUGAAGAAGGCCUUAGGGUUGUAAAGUACUUUCAGCGGGGAGGCGUUACCCGCAGAAGAAGCACCGGCUAACUCCGUGCCAGCAGCCGCGGUAAUAC
rnacentral:rRNA from 1 species